rnacentral:rRNA from 1 species
UACGUAGGGUGCAAGCGUUGUCCGGAAUUAUUGGGCGUAAAGAGCUCGUAGGCGGUCUGUCGCGUCGGCUGUGAAAACCCGGAGCUCAACUCCGGGCCUGCAGUCGAUACGGGCAGACUGGAGUGUUGCAGGGGAGACUGGAAUUCCUGGUGUAGCGGUGAAAUGCGCAGAGUAUCAGGAGGAACACCGGUGGCGAAGGCGGGUCUCUGGGCAACAACUGACGCUGGAGGAGCGAAAGCGUGGGGAGCGAACAGG